rnacentral:lncRNA from 1 species
CCUUAGUCUAUCUGGAGAAGGUGUCUACUCGUACUAGAAGAAACUCCUGGAGAGCAGAGCCAUGCCUGCCAUUUCCAUCAUUGCAUUACCACCACCCAGCACAGUGCCUGGCACAAAAGAGUUGCUCAAUAAAUAAAUCAGGAUGAAUGGAUAAAUACACGGACAGGCACUUUGAACUACAGAUGAGCUUAAAUACUUUGUGUUUUUCUUAGUCAAACAUGUGCAAUUAAGCAUGUGAUAAAUUAUAUGAUGACCACACCUGUGUCUUGCCUGAUGAUCUUUGCAAUCACUAAACAAAGUCAAUUUUGCCUGUUUUGACAGUUCUGUUUUCAACCUAAUCUGGUUCUUUUAACUUCUGGCUGUUGGCUUUGUUUGCGUUGUUAGCCUGACAAAGUGGCAGAUAUUGGUAUAAGCUCUUUUGUUUAAAUGCCACGAACUUUAAAAAUGCCUUUGCUUUUGGUAAGAAACCCUAGUUAGGACAGUCUAGUGGUCAGGAUGAUUUGGGUUCUGGUGCAGUAACAACAAUCCCCAAAUCUCAGUGGCUCCAUGCAGUGAGGUAUUUGUUUGCUUG